rnacentral:rRNA from 1 species
GGCAGGCCUAACACAUGCAAGUCGAGCGGUAACAUUUCAAAAGCUUGCUUUUGAAGAUGACGAGCGGCGGACGGGUGAGUAAAGCCUGGGAAUUUACCCAUUUGUGGGGGAUAACAGUUGGAAACGACUGCUAAUACCGCAUACGCCCUACGGGGGAAAGCAGGGGAACUUAGGUCCUUGCGCUGAUGGAUAAGCCCAGGUGGGAUUAGCUAGUAGGUGAGGUAAUGGCUCACCUAGGCAACGAUCCCUAGCUGGUCUGAGAGGAUGAUCAGCCACACUGGGACUGAGACACGGCCCAGACUCCUACGGGAGGCAGCAGUGGGGAAUAUUGCACAAUGGGGGAAACCCUGAUGCAGCCAUGCCGCGUGUGUGAAGAAGGCCUUCGGGUUGUAAAGCACUUUCAGCGAGGAGGAAAGGUUAGUAGUUAAUACCUGCUAGCUGU